UGUCCCAAAACACAGACAAUAUGAUCUUGCUGGACGGUCUUCUCUUAGGUCAUCCUGGUGCAACCACAUCUGAAUUCUCGUUUCCAUCGUUUCAUAGUAUCAUUUUAAUUUUCUCUGAUGGAUAUUCCUCGCCAUACAUAGCUGACAUCUUUUCGGAAUUGUUUGCGCAAUUUUUCCUUGAAGAUGGCAGAAUCGUAUCACGGCUCGAUAUUCACUUUUAUUCAGCAUAAUACCUUCUGUUAUCACGCUUCUAACUCCGGUUAAACAAGAUUCGUCAAAACAAAAAAAGGCAUGCCUAUUAG
rnacentral:lncRNA from 1 species